rnacentral:lncRNA from 12 species
AUGUCUGUAUGCCCAGGACCUGCUUCAGAUGCAGUGUUUCCCAGCCUUCACUUCAAAGCAGCAUUGUGGAAUCAAGCAGUGGGAAUAUUUGAGAAAGCUGUCUGUCAUUCUCCAGGGGUUCCGACUUGCAAGGGCUCAACAAUCUACUCAUUUGACUUAUUACCAGGAUGUAUGAUUUUGAGUUCUUAA